CGGCGGCGCUGCCCUUGGCGCGGGACGUGGCCUGCAGAGCCUUCUGUCACCAACACAUUUCCCCACAUGUCAAGGUCUCGGUGGAGUCCUGGU